rnacentral:lncRNA from 1 species
GAAUAAAUUCUAUGUUCACUACAUAAACCAAAUUCACACACUUUUAGAGGUCUUUCGGGUUGAAACUGGGCUUCGGUACGGUGGGGAUAGAUAAGGAAAUGGAUGACAAAGGUUUAAAACUCGACAUUCAUGUUGUUGCUUUUCUUUGUGCACAAAUUAUUUCAUGGGGUGUUGUCCAACUUGACUCUUUUUUUUUUCACUCAAUUUUUUUCUUUGAGUGUCUCAUUAUGGUAUGAGUCUUUGACUUAGCCAAGUGCUUUUAUCUCAUCUCCAUUUUUCAUUUCUUUUCUCUUUUUUCUUUUUGGUAGAAGUAUAUGUUUUCCAAAAAAAU